rnacentral:rRNA from 1 species
UGUGUUGUUGGGUAGGGGAGCGUUCUGUAAGCCUGUGAAGGUGUGUCGUGAGGCAUGCUGGAGGUAUCAGAAGUGCGAAUGCUGACAUAAGUAACGAUAAAGCGGGUGAAAAGCCCGCUCGCCGGAAGACCAAGGGUUCCUGUCCAACGUUAAUCGGGGCAGGGUGAGUCGACCCCUAAGGCGAGGCCGAAAGGCGUAGUCGAUGGGAAACGGGUUAAUAUUCCCGUACUUGGUGUUACUGCGAAGGGGGGACGGAGAAGGCUAUGUUGGCCGGGCGACGGUUGUCCCGGUUUAAGCGUGUAGGUGUGUGUUCCAGGUAAAUCCGGUUCACUUUAACACUGAGGCGUGACGACGAGGCACUACGGUGCUGAAGCAACAAAUGCCCUGCUUCCAGGAAAAGCCUCUAAGCAUCAGGUAACAUCAAAUCGUACCCCAAACCGACACAGGUGGUCAGGUAGAGAAUACCAAGGCGCUUGAGAGAACUCGGGUGAAGGAACUAGGCAAAAUGGUGCCGUAACUUCGGGAGAAGGCACGCUGACACGUAGGUGAAGUGAUUUACUCAUGGAGCUGAAGUCAGUCGAAGAUACCAGCUGGCUGCAACUGUUUAUUAAAAACACAGCACUGUGCAAACACGAAAGUGGACGUAUACGGUGUGACGCCUGCCCGGUGCCGGAAGGUUAAUUGAUGGGGUCAGCGCAAGCGAAGCUCCUGAUCGAAGCCCCGGUAAACGGCGGCCGUAACUAUAACGGUCCUAAGGUAGCGAAAUUCCUUGUCGGGUAAGUUCCGACCUGCACGAAUGGCGUAAUGAUGGCCAGGCUGUCUCCACCCGAGACUCAGUGAAAUUGAACUCGCUGUGAAGAUGCAGUGUACCCGCGGCAAGACGGAAAGACCCCGUGAACCUUUACUAUAGCUUGACACUGAACAUUGAGCCUUGAUGUGUAGGAUAGGUGGGAGGCUUUGAAGUGUGGACGCCAGUCUGCAUGGAGCCGACCUUGAAAUACCACCCUUUAAUGUUUGAUGUUCUAACGUGGACCCGUGAUCCGGGUUGCGGACAGUGUCUGGUGGGUAGUUUGACUGGGGCGGUCUCCUCCUAAAGAGUAACGGAGGAGCACGAAGGUUGGCUAAUCCUGGUCGGACAUCAGGAGGUUAGUGCAAUGGCAUAAGCCAGCUUGACUGCGAGCGUGACGGCGCGAGCAGGUGCGAAAGCAGGUCAUAGUGAUCCGGUGGUUCUGAAUGGAAGGGCCAUCGCUCAACGGAUAAAAGGUACUCCGGGGAUAACAGGCUGAUACCGCCCAAGAGUUCAUAUCGACGGCGGUGUUUGGCACCUCGAUGUCGGCUCAUCACAUCCUGGGGCUGAAGUAGGUCCCAAGGGUAUGGCUGUUCGCCAUUUAAAGUGGUACGCGAGCUGGGUUUAGAACGUCGUGAGACAGUUCGGUCCCUAUCUGCCGUGGGCGCUGGAGAACUGAGGGGGGCUGCUCCUAGUACGAGAGGACCGGAGUGGACGCAUCACUGGUGUUCGGGUUGUCAUGCCAAUGGCACUGCCCGGUAGCUAAAUGCGGAAGAGAUAAGUGCUGAAAGCAUCUAAGCACGAAACUUGCCCCGAG